UACAGAGGGUGCGAGCGUUAAUCGGAAUUACUGGGCGUAAAGCGUGCGUAGACGGUUAUUUAAGUCGGGUGUGAAAGCCCCGGGCUCAACCUGGGAAUUGCAUUCGAGACUGAAUAGCUAGGGUACGGUAGAGGGAAGUGGAAUUUCCGGUGUAGCGGUGAAAUGCGUAGAUAUCGGAAGGAACAUCAGUGGCGAAAGCGACUUCCUGGACCAGUACCGACGUUCAGGCACGAAAGCGUGGGGAGCA
rnacentral:rRNA from 1 species